AGCAGCCGCGGUAAUUCCAGCUCCAAUAGCGUAUAUUAAAGUUGCUGCAGUUAAAAAGCUCGUAGUUGAAUUUCGGGACUAAUAUGUCGGUCGUGCCUCGGUACGUACUGGUUUAUUGGUUUCUCCUUUCUGAAGAACCAUGAUGUCAUUUAUUUGGUGUCAUGGGGAAUCAGGACUGCUACUUUGAAAAAACUUAGAGUGUUUAAAGCAGGCUCACGCUUGAAUACAUUAGCAUGGAAUAAUGAAAUAGGACGUUUGAUUCUAUUUUGUUGGUUUCUAGGAUCGACGUAAUGAUUAAUAGGGAUAGUUGGGGGCAUUAGUAUUCAAUUGUCAGAGGUGGAAUUCUUGGAUUUAUUGAAGACUAACUACUGCGAAAGCAUUUGCCAAGGAUGUUUUCAUUAAUCAAGAACGAAAGUUAGGGGAUCGAAGACGAUCAGAUACCGUCGUAGUCUUAACCAUAAACUAUGCCGACUAGGGAUCGGACGAUGUUAAUUUUUUCAAUGACUCAUUCGGCGCCUUA
rnacentral:misc_RNA from 1 species